GAGACAGCAGUCGCCACGGUAAUACGGAGGGUGCAAGCGUUACUCGGAAUCACUGGGCGUAAAGGACGCGUAGGCGGAUUAUCAAGUCUCUUGUGAAAUCUAACGGCUUAACCGUUAAACUGCUUGGGAAACUGAUAAUCUAGAGUAAGGGAGAGGCAGAUAGAAUUCUUGGUGUAGGGGUAAAAUCCGUAGAUAUCAAGAAGAAUACCUAUUGCGAAGGCGAUCUGCUGGAACUUAACUGACGCUAAUGCGUGAAAGCGUGGGGAGCAAACAGGAUUAGAUACCCCAGUAGUCCCUGUCUCUUAUAC
rnacentral:rRNA from 1 species